AGUCCUAUGGUCUAGUGGUAUGACGUUCGCUUCACAAAACACACAAACGUGUUUGGGAAGCGCGAAAGGUCCCGAGUUCGAUCCUCGGUGGGACUA